AUAACGUUGUCUUUUUAGCAAUUUUGCCAUGUAAAGAACUCAAAUUCAUAGUUACUAUUAACCUUUGUUGUGACGGUAAUAUCUUGUGUUAAUGUAAUACUUCUUGCAUUUUCAUGCACCCCAUUCAUUGAGUGCGUCCUAUUUCAUAGGUAUCGUGAACUUACAGUCCUAUGUAAGUCUAAUGAUGCUACAUCUUAUAAAUAAAGGAAUUAAGUUUAGAGAAAGAGGUGAUCAUCGGAGGUGGACGUGAUCUCUUCAGGUGUCAUAGACAAGAUGAACCAAAACUGGAUCUGGAAUUAUGGCCAAGAUUUGGAAAGGAACAGAAGAGGGCAUCCCGAUUUUGAAAAAACUACUAGAAUAAGAAACAGGAAGAAAUGUCACAUGGAAUCAUUAAAAUCAUAAAUUCUCCUAUCUUCUUGUGGAAAAAUUAUGCAGACUCUGACUGAAAAAUAAUGUGGUGACUAAAGCAGAAGAUUAGUGAGAACAUCAUUGCCUUUGAUUGUCCUUCAAUAUCACCUGUGGUUCUAAGGAAGUGGCAGAUCUGAAGAGCUGAAAUGUAAUGUAAUAUGCUGACUCGUUUGCCUGAUGGAUGUGUGACUGCCCUCUGUUGGAUGAAAUUAGAUCUGCUCUUAUAUGUUAGACUGUCUUGCCCUCUAGUGGUUUGUGCAGAAGAUAGUAAUGAAGACAUUGGAGAAUACUGCAUGAAGAAUCAGGACGAACACGUCUUGUCUUUUCGACUCUGUUCUCAUUGCAACAAACACAGGAAAGGAGAAGAAAGGGACACAGCCCCCGGGCUCACUUGUGAGGAAAAAACCCCCAGAUACUCUCAGAAAGAAGUGAAAGGAGAACUUGAAGAAACAAGUUUGCAGGCAGUUUUUACCUCUCGGUAUUCUAGCACUACACGCUCAAGAAGACCUAGGACCAGAUUCUUCCAAACAUCAUGUGUCCAGUUCUGAGACUAGUGUUUGGAGCUGAAUAGAAGUCGGUGAAUUUAAAUUGAAUUUGAUUGGUGUAAUGGACCGAAUGCUUAUGUCUUCCUCAAAAUCCAAAUGUUAAAAUCCUAAACCCCAAUAUGAUGGUAUUACGAGAUGGGGGCCUUUGGGAGGUGGUUAACUGAUAGGGUGCAUCCUUAUAAAGAAUCCCAGAGAGCUCUACCCCUCCUUCCUCCAUGUGAGGACACAGCAAGAUAGCCAUCUAUGAUCCAGGAAGUAGACUCUCCCAGACACCGAAUCUCCUGGCUCCUUGAUCUUGGACUUCCCAGCCUCCAGAACUGGGAGAAAUAAAUGUUUGUUGUUUAAGCCA
rnacentral:lncRNA from 1 species